rnacentral:pre_miRNA from 1 species
UUAACUCAAACUUGUGUGGAGUGGAACAUUUGCCCACGUUUGCCGCUAGGGGCGCUGUACUAACUGCAUACAAAUUUCAGUUA